AUUGAACGCUGGCGGCAGGCCUAACACAUGCAAGUCGAACGAGUGGCGGACGGGUGAGUAAUGUCUGGGAAACUGCCUGAUGGAGGGGGAUAACUACUGGAAACGGUAGCUAAUACCGCAUACCAUCAGAUGUGCCCAGAUGGGAUUAGCUUGUUGGUGGGGUAACGGCUCACCAAGGCGACGAUCCCUAGCUGGUCUGAGAGGCUGACCAGCUACACGUGAACUGAUAUAGGGUCCAGACUCCUACUGGAGGCAGCAGUGGGGAAUCUUGGACAAUUGGCGCAAGCCUGAUGCAGCCAUGCCGCGUGUAUGAAGAAGGCCGUCGGGUUGUAAAGUACUUUCAGCGGGGAGGCGUUACCCGAAGAAGAAGCACCGGCUAACUCCUGGCCAGCCGCCGCGGUAAUAC
rnacentral:rRNA from 1 species